rnacentral:rRNA from 1 species
GAGUAAUGUCUGGGAAACUGCCUGAUGGAGGGGGAUAACUACUGGAAACGGUAGCUAAUACCGCAUAACGUCGCAAGACCAAAGAGGGGGACCUUCGGGCCUCUUGCCAUCGGAUGUGCCCAGAUGGGAUUAGCUAGUAGGUGGGGUAACGGCUCACCUAGGCGACGAUCCCUAGCUGGUCUGAGAGGAUGACCAGCCACACUGGAACUGAGACACGGUCCAGACUCCUACGGGAGGCAGCAGUGGGGAAUAUUGCACAAUGGGCGCAAGCCUGAUGCAGCCAUGCCGCGUGUAUGAAGAAGGCCUUCGGGUUGUAAAGUACUUUCAGCGGGGAGGAAGGGAGUAAAGUUAAUACCUUU